rnacentral:lncRNA from 1 species
GCAAAGGUCAAAAUCUAGAACGUCCAAUUAACCUAUGACCUUGACCUCAAUUUCAAGGUCAUAGACUAAACAUCUCAAAUAAAAAGACACUAGUUCCUUAAUAUGUAUGGUUCAUGAGUAAAAUCACUUUACGCAUAAUUCUUAAUAUAAGAGGGGCGAAAACUCCCUUUUUAUUGUUUACGCACCCUCGCAACCAAAAUUUAUAAGUUACGACAUGUCGCAACUAACAAUUUAGUAAAAAAAAAUUGUCGAUAUCUUAUAAGGUUAAUGAAAAAAGGUGAAAAUAAGCCAAAAUCAAAAUUAAGAAUUUGACCUUGACCUUUGACCUUGACCUAAUUUUCAUUUUUUUGGACCAAGGAUCUUAAAUCAAAAGACCCUAGGUCUCUAUCACUUAUAGGUUUACCAGUUAGAAAUGCAUAUCACUUAUAUCAUAUAUAAAAGGGGGGAUAACUCUCAUAUGGAGUCUCCGGAUAGCUUCCGUUGAAAUGAAACAGAACAUCCUAAGGAUAUAACGAGCAAUUUGGAAAAAUAAAUUUGUCGGUUUCUUAUACGGUUGCGAAGCCUAGUAGUGGCCACAAGAAAAAAACAGUGUUUGGGGAGAUAACUCUUACAAGGUAAAGGUUUUUGUUACGCGGUGUCAGUUUCAGAAGCGCAUUAACUGUUCGAUAUCAUAUACCAAAUAUCUAAGCGACAUCUUGUGAAACAAAAAAACAGCGAAGGAAAAAAAAGUUGGCGGAAGAAAAAAAAAAAAUAAUAAUAAUAAUAAUAAUUAAAAACCAAUUGUUCAAAGAACAAUUGAAGGUCUUUCAACCAAUAAGGAUCUAUUUAGAUAUGAAAAUAUUAAAAUUCAGUUGAAAAUGUCAGUUCCUAUGGCUUAAUGAUGUAUAAAUAUGAAUUUUAAGCAAAGGUCAAAAUCUAGAACGUCCAAUUUAACCUAUGACCUUGACCUCAAUUUCAAGGUCAUAGACUAAACAUCUCAAAUAAAAAGACACUAGUUCCUUAAUAUGUAUGGUUCAUGAGUAAAAUCACUUUACGCAUAAUUCUUAAUAUAAGAGGGGCGAAAACUCCCUUUUAUUGUUUACGCACCCUCGCAACCAAAAUUUAUAAGUUACGACAUGUCGCAACUAACAAUUUAGUAAAAAAAAUUGUCGAUAUCUUAUAAGGUUAAUGAAAAAAGGUGAAAAUAAGCCAAAAUCAAAAUUUAAGAAUUUGACCUUGACCUUUGACCUUGACCUAAUUUUCAUUUUUUUGGACCAAGGAUCUUAAAUCAAAAGACCCUAGGUCUCUAUCACUUAUAGUUUACCAGUUAGAAAUGCAUAUCACUUAUAUCAUAUAUAAAAGGGGGGAUAACUCUCAUAUGGAGUCUCCGGAUAGCUUCGUUGAAAUGAAACAGAACAUCCUAAGGAUAUAACGAGCAAUUUGGAAAAAUAAAUUUGUCGGUUUCUUAUACGGUUGCGAAGGAGUAGUGGCCACAAGAAAAACAGUGUUUGGGGAGAUAACUCUUACAAGGUAAAGGUUUUUUGUUACGCGGUGUCAGUUUUCAGAAGCGCAUUAACUGUUCGAUAUCAUAUACCAAAUAUCUAAGCGACAUCUUUUGAAACAAAAAAACAGCGAAGGAAAAAAAAGUUGGCGGAAGAAAAAAAAAAAAAUAAUAAUAAUAAUAAUUAAAAACCAAUUGUUCAAAGAACAAUUGAAGGUCUUUCAACCAAAAAGGAUCUAUUUUGAUAUGAAAAUAUUAAAAUUCAGUUGAAAAUGUCAGUUCCUAUGGCUUUAAUGAUGUAUAAAUAUGAAUUUUAAGCAAAGGUCAAAAUCUAGAACGUCCAAUUAACCUAUGACCUUGACCUCAAUUUCAAGGUCAUAGACUAAGGACAUCUCAAAUCAAAAGACACUAGUUCUUAAUAUGUAUGGUUCAUGAGUAAUAUCACUUUACGCAUAAUUCUAAUAUAAGAGGGGCGAAAACUCCCAUUUAUUGUUUACGCACCCUUCGCAACCAAAAUUUAUAAGUUACGACAUGUCGCAACUAACAAUUUAGUAAAAAAUUUGUCGAUAUCUUAUAAGGUUAAUGAAAAUAAGUGAAAAUAAGCCAAAAUCAAAAUUUUAGAAUUUGACCUUGACCUUUGACCUUGACCUAAUUUUCAUUUUUUUGGACCAAGGAUCUUAAAUCAAAAGACCCUAGGUCUCUAUCACUUAUAGUUUACCAGUUAGAAAUGCAUAUCACUUAUAUCAUAUAUAAAAGGGGGAUAACUCUCAUAUGGAGUCUCCGGAUAGCUUCGGUCAAAAUGAAACAGAACAUCCUGAGGAUGUAACGAGCAAUUUGGUAAAAUAAAUUUGUCGUAAUCUUUUACGGUUGCGAAGGAGUAGUGGCCACAAGAAAAACAGUGUUCGGGGAGAUAACUCUUACAAGGUAAAGUUUUUUUGUUACGCGGUGUCAGUUUCAGAAGCGUAUUAACUGUUCGAUAUCAUAUACCAUAAUAUCUAAGCGACAUCUUGUGAAACAAAAAACAGCGAAGGAAAAAAAGUUGGCGGAAGAAAAAAAAAAAAAAAAAAAUAAUAAUAAUUAAAAACCAAUUGUUCAAAGAACAAUUGAAGGUCUUUCAACCAAUAAAGGAUCUAUUUUGAUAUGAAAAUAUUAAAAUUCAGUUGAAAAUGUCAGUUCCUAUGGCUUUAAUGAUGUAUAAAUAUGAAUUUUAAAGCAAAGGUCAAAAUCUAGAACGUCCAAUUAACCUAUGACCUUGACCUCAAUUUCAAGGUCAUAGACUAAACAUCUCAAAUCAAAAAGACACUAGUUCCUUAAUAUGUAUGGUUCAUGAGUAAUAUCACUUUACGCAUAAUUCUAAAUAUAAGAGGGGCGAAAACUCCCAUUUAUUGUCUACGCACCCUUGCAACCAAAAUUUAUAAGUUACGACAUGUCGCAACUAACAAUUUAGUAAAAAUAAUUUGUCGAUAUCUUAUAAGGUUAAUGAAAAUAAGUGAAAAUAAGCCAAAAUCAAAAUUUAGAAUUUGACCUUGACCUUUGACCUUGACCUAAUUUUCAUUUUUUUGGACCAAGGAUCUUAAAUCAAAAGACCCUAGGUCUCUAUCACUUAUGGUUUACCAGUUAGAAAUGCAUAUCACUUAUAUCAUAUAUAAAAGGGGGGAUAACUCUCAUAUGGAGUCUCCGGAUAGCUUCGGUCCAAAUGAAACAGAACAUCCUGAGGAUAUAACGAGCAAUUUGGAAAAAUAAAUUUGUCGGUUUUCUUUUAUACGGUUGCGAAGGAGUAGUGGCCACAAGAAAAACAGUGUUCGGGGAGAUAACUCUUACAAGGUAAAGGUUUUUUGUUACGCGGUGUCAGUUUCAGAAGCGCAUUAACUGUUCGAUAUCAUAUUACCAAAUAUCUAAGCGACAUCUUGUGAAACAAAAAAACAGCGAAGGAAAAAAAAGUUGGCGGAAGAAAAAAAAAAAAAAAAAAAUAAUAAUAAUAAUAAUCAGAACAAUAAAUAGGUCUUUCAAUUGAAGAACAAUUCAAUGGUCUUUCAAAGAAAAGACAAUAAUUAAAAACCAAUUGUUCAAGAACAAUUGAAGGUCUUUCACUAAGGAUCUAUUUAGAUAUGAAAUAUUAAAAAUUCAGUUGAAAAUGUCAGUUCCUAUGGCUUAAUGAUGUAUAAAUAUGAAUUUUAAGCAAAGGUCAAAAUCUAGAACGUCCAAUUAACCUAUGACCUUGACCUCAAUUUCAAGGUCAUAGACUAAACAUCUCAAAUAAAAGACACUAGUUCCUUAAUAUGUAUGGUUCAUGAGUAAAAUCACUUUACGCAUAAUUCUUAAAUAUAAGAGGGGCGAAAACUCCCUUUUAUUGUUUACGCACCCUCGCAACCAAAAUUUAUAAGUUACGACAUGUCGCAACUAACAAUUUAGUAAAAAAAAAUUGUCGAUAUCUUAUAAGGUUAAUGAAAAAAGGUGAAAAAUAAGCCAAAAUCAAAAUUAAGAAUUUGACCUUGACCUUUGACCUUGACCUAAUUUUCAUUUUUUUGGACCAAGGAUCUUAAAUCAAAAGACCCUAGGUCUCUAUCACUUAUAGUUUACCAGUUAGAAAUGCAUAUCACUGAUAUCAUAUAUAAAAGGGGGAUAACUCUCAUAUGGAGUCUCCGGAUAGCUUCGGUUGAAAUGAAACAGAACAUCCUAAGGAUAUAACGAGCAAUUUGGAAAAAUAAAUUUGUCGGUUUCUUAUACGGUUGCGAAGUAGUAGUGGCCACAAGAAAAACAGUGUUUGGGGAGAUAACUCUUACAAGGUAAAGUUUUUGUUACGCGGUUGUCAGUUUCAGAAGCGUAUUAAACUGUUCGAUAUCAUAUACCAAAUAUCUAAGCGACAUCUUGUGAAACAAAAAAACAGCGAAGGAAAAAAAAGUUGGCGGAAGAAAAAAAAAAAAAAAAUAAUAAUAAUAAUAAUAAUAAUAAUAAUAAUCAGAACAAAUAUAGGUCUUUCAACUGAAAGGUUGAAAGACCUAAUUAAAAACCAAUUGUUCAGAGAACAAUUGUAGGUCUUUCCACUAGUAAAGAUCUAUUUUGAUAUUGAAAUAUUAAAAAUCAGUUUAAAAUGUUAGUUCCUAUGGCUUUAUGAUGUAUUUAUAUGAAUUUAAAGCAAAGGUCAAAAUCUAGAACGUCAUAUUAACCUAUGACCUUGACCUCAAUUUCAAGUUCACAAACCAAGGACCUUAAAUCAAAAGACCCAAGGUCUUUAAUAUGUUUGGUUUAUUAGUAAUAUCACUUUACGCGUAAUUCUAAAUGUAAGAUGGGCAAAAACUCCCAUUUAUUGUCUGCGCACCCUUUCAAUCAAAAUAUACAAGUAAGGACAUGUCGCAACUAACAAUUUAUGAAAAAAUUAUUUGUCGAUAUGUCAUAAGGUAUUUGAAAAUAAAUGAAAAUAAGCCAAAAUCAAAAUUUAGAAUAUGACCUUGACCUUUGACCUUGACCUCAUUUUUAUUAUUUUCGACCAAGGACCCCAAAUCUAAAGACCCUAUGUCUUUAUCACUUAUGGUUUACCAUUUAGAAAUGCAUAUCACUUAAUUAAAUGGAAAAGGGGGAAUAACUCUCAUAUGGAGUCUCCGUAAAGCUUCGGUCCAAAUGAAUAUCCUAAUCCUGAAGAUGUAACGAGCAAUUUGGUAAAAUAAAUUUGUCGUAAUCUUUAACGGUUGCGAAGGAGUAGUGGCCACAAGAAAAACAGUGUUUGGGGAGAUAACUCUUACAACGUAAAGUAUUUUGUUACGCAGUUGUAAAUUUUUAAAGCGUAUAAACUAUACGAUACCAUAUUCCAAAUAUCUAAGCGACAUCUUUUGAAACAUCAAAAAUACGCAAGAAAAAAAAUUAGGCGGAAGAAAAAAAAAAAAAAUAAUAAUAAUAAUAAUCAGAACAAAUUCAAUAGGUCUUUCCACGGAAAGGUGGAAAGACCUAAUUAAAAACCAAUUGUUCAGAGAACAAUUGAAGGUCUUUCAACCAAUAAGGAUCUAUUUUGAUAUGAAAAUAUUAAAAUUCAGUUGAAAAUGUCAGUUCCUAUGGCUUUAUGAUGUAUAAAUAUAUGAAUUUUAAGCAAAGGUCAAAAUCUAGAACGUCCAAUUAAACCUAUGACCUUGACCUCAAUUUCAAGGUCAUAGACUAAACAUCUCAAAUAAAAAAGACACUAGUUCCUUAAUAUGUAUGGUUCAUGAGUAAAAUCACUUUACGCAUAAUUCUUAAUAUAAGAGGGGCGAAAACUCCCUUUUAUUGUUUACGCACCCUUUGCAACCAAAAAUUUAUAAGUUACGACAUGUCGCAACUAACAAUUUAGUAAAAAAAAUUUGUCGAUAUCUUAUAAGGUUAAUGAAAAAAGGUGAAAAUAAGCCAAAAUCAAAAUUUAGAAUUUGACCUUGACCUUUGACCUUGACCUAAUUUUCAUUUUUUUGGACCAAGGAUCUUAAAUCAAAAGACCCUAGGUCUCUCUAUCACUUAUAGGUUUACCAGUUAGAAAUGCAUAUCACUGAUAUCAUAUAUAAAAGGGGGGAUAACUCUCAUAUGGAGUCUCCGGAUAGCUUCGGUUGAAAUGAAACAGAACAUCCUAAGGAUAUAACGAGCAAUUUGGAAAAAUAAAUUUGUCGUAAUCUUUAUUACGGUUGCGAAGGAGUAGUGGCCA